AUGCCAUUGCUUCACAUCUGUCUGGCAAACCUCCGCUCUCUACCCGACAAAAUGGAUGAACUCCUUCUGCUCUCCCAGACAAAUAAGGAUUUCUCACACUCUGCUGCUCUGUGUUUCACGGAAACCUGGCUGAAUGACGCCAUACCGGACAGUGCGUUAAAUCUGCUGGGCUUUCAGCUGUUCAGAGCGAACCGCGACACAGAAUCAACGGGGAAAUCGCACGGCAGCGGGACAUGCUUUUACAUCAAUGAAAGGUGGUGUACAGAUGUAACCGUGUUAAAGAAGAUGUGCUGUUCAGAUUUAGAAACACUCUUCAUUAACUGCAAGCUGUUCUAUUCGCCGCUCGAGUGUCACGCGUUCAUUCUGGUGAGUGUUUAUAUCCCUCCGCAAGCGCACGUAAGCCUGGCUUUGCAGAAACUCGCUGAUCAGAUCACAGAGACAGAUCAACAACACCCGGACUCUGUUUUAAUCAUUCUCGGGGACUUUAAUAAAGCAAAUCUCUCCCGUGAACUGCCAAAAUACAGACAGAACAUCAUAUGUCCCACCAGAGACAAUAAUAUAUUGGAUCACUGUUACACCACAAUAAAGGAUGCAUAUUACUCUGUUCCACGGGCAGCUUUGGGGUGCUCUGAUCACUGUUUGGUUCGUCUUAUUCCGACCUACAGGCAGAAACUAAAAUCAGCCAAACCUUUAUUAAGGACUGUAAAAAGAUGGACUAAUGAAGCACACCUGCAAUUCAGAUCAGCGAGGAUGAGGUGUGCCAGGUCUUCCAGAAGCAAAAAAACGAAUAACGCACCAGGCUGUCUGAAAUCCUGUGCUGACCAGCUGGCCCCCAUCUUCACACAGAUCUUCAACAGAUCACUGGAGCUGUGUGAAGUCCCUUCAUGCUUCAAACGCUCCACCAUCAUCCCCAUCCCAAAGAAAUCCAAAAUUACAGGACUAAAUGACUACAGGCCUGUGGCCCUAACGUCUGUGAUCAUAAAGUCUUUUGAAAAACUGGUGCUUGUCCACCUGAAGGACAUUACUGGACCCUUUUAG
ensembl:lncRNA